rfam:Angiostrongylus cantonensis strain Taiwan genome assembly, scaffold: ACAC_contig0006472
GGUCCUGUGGUGUAGUGGUUAUCACGUCUGCUUUACAAGCAGAAGGUCGCCGGUUCGGUCAACGCCA